rnacentral:rRNA from 1 species
GACGAACGCUGGCGGCGUGCUUAACACAUGCAAGUCGAACGAAGAGCGACGGAAGCUUGCUUCUAUCAAUCUUAGUGGCGAACGGGUGAGUAACGCGUAAUCAACCUGCCCUUCAGAGGGGGACAACAGUUGGAAACGACUGCUAAUACCGCAUACGAUCUAACCUCGGCAUCGAGGAUAGAUGAAAGGUGGCCUCUACAUGUAAGCUAUCACUGAAGGAGGGGAUUGCGUCUGAUUAGCUAGUUGGAGGGGUAACGGCCCACCAAGGCGAUGAUCAGUAGGUCUGAGAGGAUGAACGGCCACAUUGGGACUGAGACACGGCCCAGACUCCUACGGGAGGCAGCAGUGGGGAAUCUUCCGCAAUGGACGAAAGUCUGACGGAGCAACGCCGCGUGAGUGAUGACGGCCUUCGGGUUGUAAAGCUCUGUUAAUCGGGACGAAAGGCCUUCUUGCGAAUAGUGAGAAGGAUUGACGGUACCGGAAUAGAAAGCCACGGCUAACUACGUG